CUUGAGGGAUUCCCAGCAGCCCUUGGCCCCGUCCGGCCACUGGGGGGCUGUCUCACUCGCUCACACCCACCCGCAGGUUUCAGCACCUGCACAGCCUCAGAACGAGAGUGGGGUGGAUGGAGAGGUGGUCCCUGCCUCAGUGGGGAAAACAGACGAGGCGGCUGGAGACUGGCUGCAGCAUCCCCCAGGGCAGAAUGAAGAGGGGGACAGUGGGGCAACCUGCGUGGAUGCCCUUAGGCAUGGUUGGCCUUCUCUUCACUUCCCUGGAAGCCUUCGAAGCCAGGACCCAUGUUGAUGCCCCAUUUUCAUCCUCCCAAGAAGCGUGUGCUGCCUGUCAGGAGAACCAGCCCCUUGGACGGCAGCUGUUCUUAUCACGGGACAGAAAUCAGCAGAAGAAUCACUCCUUCUCGCCACUGAGAGCAAAUAAAGAUGGCCUUGGCAGAAAUACGUGCUAGGAUCACUGGCUUUUGUGUGUGGGUGGGUGGC
rnacentral:lncRNA from 1 species